GAGUUAUUAAAAUAUUACGCCAUGUAUAUUGGGCCAUAUCAGUGAAAAUCAUGUUGUCCUGUUCUGACUCGUCCUUGGAAUGAAUCAAAUGGAGGCAUUUUCUGCAGAGCUACAGAACUACAUUUUAUCCAUUAGGUACUUCCCAGACGUGUGGUCUCGUUCCUAUCCUACAUCAUACAGAACUAAAGCUGGAACCUCGGGACCUGCAAAUAAUAUCUACACAAAUUUUGUUGUGAUGAGUCAGUAUACUGUUUUCCAUAUAUUGUUCGAUUAUAUAGCAUAAGAUUAUAAAUACAGGAGAAAUGACCUUGGCGAGAGGAGUGGUGCAGUCCGGAAACAGAACACGCAGUCCUUUACUGCAGCGAUUGGACAUUAACGCUGAUGCAGGCUGCUGAUUGGUCCAUGACGGUGAGUGGGUGGAUUUGACGGAGGCAGAGGCAGUCUCUCAAGGCCUGUAAAAUGGAGUGAGCCUUGAUGACAGCAGAUGGGAUCUCUCUCCUUCUCCAGUGUUGGGCUUCCAGUCGGCCAGCUGGCUACCAUUAGCGCCAGACACAGCAUGAAUAGGAUAGCAUCAAACACAUGACGUAAAGCAGACAAAACAUGAAGCAUGUUUGUGCUCACUUCUGCAUUGGCUACAAACAUGUCACAGACAUAACACCCCAUUACAUGACAGAAAUUCAGUGCUGUGUACUGCAAAACACCAUGUCAUUUAGUUAACAAUAUCUGACCAUUAUACGAGUAAAAACUCUUAGACAGUGCUUUUUACUGUCAAUUAAACCAUAAAUACUGUAUGUGAAAUGUAUUCCAUAUGUCUCAGGUCGACAUUUCUGUAUUAUAAAUUCUUUAUUCUAAUAUUUUGAGAUACUGGAUUUUUGAUUUCCAUGAGAUGUAAGCCGUAAUCAUCAAGAUUAAAACAAAAAAAGGCUUAAAAUAUUUCACUUUAUGUGUAAUGUAAUGUAAUAAUCUAGAAUAUUUGAAAGUUCCACUUUUUGAAUUAAA